GAAAGGAGCUGCUCUCCCGCCUACCCGGUGCCCCUCCCCUGACAGCACAAGGGAACCUGGAGGGGUUGCAGGACAGUUCCAGGAAUGGCGCCCUUUCUUCAGAACCAUGGUAUCAUGUCUUGCCUUGGAUCCACCACAAUCGGCUGAAACCAGCAGCCCAGGACCAGUGGACCAGCCAGCAGGACCCAGACCAUCUGACCUGGCUGAUCAUGCAAUGAGACCAUGUUGCCAGUGGAGAUGACAACAGCCCUACUCUGGUUACUCUGGAAGCUGACCCGUCUACGUACGGAGGAAGGUUGAGGAAACAGCAAGCCCUGCUCUAGUCGCACUGGGAGCUGACUAGUCUAUACAUGGCUGAAGCUUGAAGAAUCAUCAUCGGAUGAGUAAAUGUGGCCAGAAAUCUUAAUCUCAGUAAUCUUCUUUGUAUUAUUCAUUAUAUUGCUAUAACCGCCAUGAAAUAAAAUAUUUUAUUUUUCAUCCAC
rnacentral:lncRNA from 1 species